rnacentral:rRNA from 1 species
CUGGGUUUGACAUGCACAGGACGMCGGNAGAGAURUCGGUUCCCUUGUGGCCUGUGUGCAGGUGGUGCAUGGCUGUCGUCAGCUCGUGUCGUGAGAUGUUGGGUUAAGUCCCGCAACGAGCGCAACCCUUGUCUCAUGUUGCCAGCGCGUUAUGGCGGGGACUCGUGAGAGACUGCCGGGGUCAACUCGGAGGAAGGUGGGGAUGACGUCAAGUCAUCAUGCCCCUUAUGUCCAGGGCUUCACACAUGCUACAAUGGCCGGUACAAAGGGCUGCGAUGCCGCGAGGCUUAGCGAAUCCUUUAAAGCCGGUCUCAGUUCGGAUCGGGGUCUGCAACUCGACCCCGUGAAGUCGGAGUCGCUAGUAAUCGCAGAUCAGCAACGCUGCGGUGAAUA